AAAAUGGCUUUACUAAAAACCAUUUCACAUUAUCAAUAAUGUAGCAU
rfam:Oryctolagus cuniculus chromosome 1, whole genome shotgun sequence.